ensembl:misc_RNA 7SK 7SK RNA
GGAUGUGAAUGCGAUCUGGCUGCGACAUCUGUCACCCCAUUGAACGCCAGGGUUGAUUCGGCUGAUCUGGCUGGCUAGGCGGGUGUUCCCUUCCUCCCUCACAGCUCCAUGUGCAUCCCUCCCGAAGCUGUGCACUUGGUCGAAGAGGAAGACCAUCCCCGAUAGAGGAGGUCUUCAGUCUUCCGUCAAGGGAAUACGAGUAGCUGCGCUCCCCUGCUAGAACCUCCAAACAAGCUCUCAAGAAAUUACAGCACAAGCAUGUGCCCAGCUCCCAUGCAGAGUUGUAUCAGAGAAAUUGACAAAUCCAUAUAGAAAUUC